GAUGAACGCUGGCGGCGUGCCUAAUACAUGCAAGUCGAGCGAACAGACGAGGAGCUUGCUCCUCUGACGUUAGCGGCGGACGGGUGAGUAACACGUGGAUAACCUACCUAUAAGACUGGGAUAACUUCGGGAAACCGGAGCUAAUACCGGAUAAUAUAUUGAACCGCAUGGUUCAAUAGUGAAAGACGGUUUUGCUGUCACUUAUAGAUGGAUCCGCGCCGCAUUAGCUAGUUGGUAAGGUAACGGCUUACCAAGGCAACGAUGCGUAGCCGACCUGAGAGGGUGAUCGGCCACACUGGAACUGAGACACGGUCCAGACUCCUACGGGAGGCAGCAGUAGGGAAUCUUCCGCAAUGGGCGAAAGCCUGACGGAGCAACGCCGCGUGAGUGAUGAAGGUCUUCGGAUCGUGAAACUCUGUUAUUAGGGAAGAACAAAUGUGUAAGUAACUAUGCACGUCUCGACGGUACCUAAUCAGAAAGCCACGGCUAACUACGUG
rnacentral:rRNA from 1 species